rnacentral:rRNA from 1 species
AGUCGAGCGGAACGAUGGUAGCUUGCUACCAGGCGUCGAGCGGCGGACGGGUGAGUAAUACUUAGGAAUCUACCUAGUAGUGGGGGAUAGCACGGGGAAACUCGUAUUAAUACCGCAUACGACCUACGGGAGAAAGGGGGCAGUUUACUGCUCUCGCUAUUAGAUGAGCCUAAGUCGGAUUAGCUAGAUGGUGGGGUAAAGGCCUACCAUGGCGACGAUCUGUAGCUGGUCUGAGGGGAUGAUCAGCCACACCGGGACUGAGACACGGCCCGGACUCCUACGGGAGGCAGCAGUGGGGAAUAUUGGACAAUGGGGGAAACCCUGAUCCAGCCAUGCCGCGUGUGUGAAGAAGGCCUUUUGGUUGUAAAGCACUUUAAGCAGUGAAGAAGACUCUUCGGUUAAUACCCGGAGACGAUGACAUUAGCUGCAGAAUAAGCACCGGCUAACUCUGUGCCAGCAGCCGCGGUAA